rnacentral:lncRNA from 1 species
CUCCAUCACCCUCUCUUCUUUCUCCCCCAUUUCAGCAGCAUUAGUAUUGGUACUUUAUUUUUUUGUUAUUUUUAAAAUUUUGCACCUAUUUUAUUUGCAAUUUUUUGAAAUGUAUUUGCACUUUAACUCUUAAUAAUAAGGGGUUGUGUAAAUAAUUUCAUGUAAGAAUAUAUGAUGUAAAAUCACUCUAGUAUUAAACUAGCAAAUAUCUCCUACAUUUUACCAGUAUAAUUAUAUAUAAAUUAUAUAUUUUAUACUAAUAUACUUAUUUGUUUUGAAGUUUUGUUAUUUUAUAAAUGAUGGAGAUGUCAAAACAUAAUUACCAUAGUUCUGUUCCCUUCUGUGACUAUUCCUUUUGUUUUUCUUUCAAAUUCCAUUUGAGAACCAUGUUUCCAACCUUUAAAACUGGAAUUUGGUAAAUUAAUAGUUUCACUUAAAAUUGUUUGCAAACUAUUAUGACUAGAGAGAAUUCUAUGAUUUUGGGUUGAGAAAUUAUUAAUGAACAUUGGUACAUAAUUGAUCCUUUUAGUGACACUAUUCAUGUACGAAUUAUAAUUGUGCUUUAACCCAUUAAACAUCUACUGAAAAUGUGCCCUAAGGGCCCUCCAAUUUUGAAAUUGUUCUAACACUCAUUCUGAUAUGCACCCACACUAGCAAUGCAUUUGAAGGAAAUCUUCAACUUGCCUUUAAUCAAGGCGUCAUUGAGCAUGAUAGACAUGAUGAAGUUAAAUCAUUAAUAUUCAUGCACUUUUCUUUAUUAAAGUCUUUUUUCUCUUAUUUGUAUAAUUAUCCAAGUUUUUUGAUGUGUACUUGCUUCUGAUGGUUUCCUUGCUAGAUUUAUUCCAAGCUUGCUCCGGAUUGAGGAUUCAAUUUCAUAACAUACUUUAGUGAAACAUAUAGCUAACUUCAUUGACUAUUCAACAAUGAAGUUAGUCAUGAGAAUGAUGGUGUUGACAAAAGAAACCCUAUUUGAUUUAAAUAUCCAGAUGCAAAGAAGUUGCAAGUGUCGGUGGGCACUAAGAAGAAGAAUUUGAAGUUAGACCAUAGUACAUAGAAAAGGAAUCAAGACCAUUUUUAUCUUAUGUAUCUGUAAUGUUUUUUUUCUACCUAUUGGUUUAAUACAUCACAUUUAUGAAUUAAAAAUAUUGUGUAUUAGAUUGAGGUUUAUUUAGAUUUUUGAACUGCCUGUAUUUUAAACAUUGGCUAUGAUUAAUUUUGAAGGACUCUCAAUUGAGGAUUUGAGACUAUAAUCUAGGGUGCCGGUGGA